rnacentral:rRNA from 1 species
ACAAUGGGGGAAACCCUGAUGGAGCGACGCCGCGUGGGUGAUGAAGGUCCUCGGAUCGUAAAGCCCUUUCAGCAGGGACGAAGGGAUUGGUUGCGAAUAGUCUCCGGUUCAAGACGGUACCUGCAGAAGAAGCUCCGGCUAACUCCGUACCAGCAGCCGCGGUAAGACGGAGGGAGCAAGCGUUGUGCGGAUUUACUGGGCGUAAAGGGCGUCUAGGCGGAUGGUCAAGUCAGGUGUGAAAUCCUUCGGCUCAACCGGAGAACUGCACUUGAAACUGACUGUCUUGAGUACGGAAGAGGAAAGCGGAAUUCCUGGUGUAGCGGUGGAAUGCGUAGAUAUCAGGAAGAACAUCGGUGGCGAAGGCGGCUUUCUGGUCCGAUACUGACGCUAAAGCGCGAAAGUGUGGGGAGCAAACAGGAUUAGAUACCCUGGUAGUC